rnacentral:lncRNA from 1 species
UUCCGCGGGCUUCUGCCAGCUGUGCAAUCACCGUACUAAGUGCUGAAUUCUGGGUUUGAGACGGGGGGAGGAAGCGGUCCAAUUCGGUUCUCCACACCGGUCAGACCACAGAGGAAGCCAGCAGCCACCAUCUUGGAGAGCUGACGUCACCAUCCCUGUUUUCGACUGAUCGCAGCUCACUCAGCCAUAGAACAGGUAAUUUCAGGCUGCCAUUUGCCUGCGGCUCGCAGACAAAUUACUCAGGCUCAGUGAUAAUUAACCCGCGGAAACUGCUUCUUGGAGCCUGCUCCUAUCAGAACAUACACCGAGCCCGGAGCGGCCGAAUUCCGGCUCCCAGAACUGCUCUGGCCCAGAGCUAAAGAACCCGUGGAAACUGCUUCUCGGUCUGGGUCCUGCUGAAUACUGUGGAGGUAAAUACCAACAGAGCCUUCAUAGGCAGUGGCAACAGGACUGAGACGGGGCUUGUGAGGGCCGGUCAGGACUCACCCGUUGCUUUGGUCACCCGGCAAAGGGAACGAAAUGCUGCCAUUCGCAUGGGAUACCAACAUGGCAGAGAUCUGAUGUCAUCAGAAAGCUGCAGAGGAGAGAACUUCAUCGAUACCAGCGGCGACAGAAACAGUUGGUCUCCUGGUAAAGAAAGUGAGUCACAAACACCCCAGUCGCUCUCACUUUGUCAUCAAGCCAGAGGGGCAGAGCAGAGCCGCCGCCUGCGCCUGGAACAGGCCCAGCGGCCCGCUGGCAUGACCCCAAUUGGAGUAGGGGCAGAGCAGAGCCGCCACCCGCGCCCGCAAGGUAGGCAGACCUGCGACCGACCGGAAGAACAGGCCCAGUGGUCUGCGGGCGUGGUAGGAGGGGCAGGGCAGAGCCGCCGCCCGCGCCUGCAAGGUAGGCAGACCUGCGACAGACCGGCGGAUCAGGCCCAGCGGCCUGCCAGCGUGGUACACACGUCACCCCAACUGGAGUAGGGGCAGAGCAGAGCC